CCUGGUUGAUCCUGCCAGUAGUCAUAUGCUUGUCUCAAAGAUUAAGCCAUGCAUGUCUAAGUGCAUGCCAAAUUAAGGUGAAACCGCGAAUGGCUCAUUAAAUCAGUUAUGGUUCCUUAGAUCGUACCCACAUUUACUUGGAUAACUGUGGUAAUUCUAGAGCUAAUACAUGCAAACCAGAGUUCCGACCAGAGAUGGAAGGAACGCUUUUAUUAGAUCAAAACCAAUCGGUGGCGGGCUUUGCUCGUCCACCGUUUACUUUGGUGACUCUGAAUAACUUUGUGCUGAUCGCACGGUCUCGUACCGGCGACGCAUCUUUCAAAUGUCUGCCUUAUCAACUGUCGAUGGUAGGUUCUGCGCCUACCAUGGUUGUAACGGGUAACGGGGAAUCAGGGUUCGAUUCCGGAGAGGGAGCCUGAGAAACGGCUACCACAUCCAAGGAAGGCAGCAGGCGCGCAAAUUACCCACUCCCGGCACGGGGAGGUAGUGACGAAAAAUAACGAUACGGGACUCAUCCGAGGCCCCGUAAUCGGAAUGAGUACACUUUAAAUCCUUUAACGAGGAUCAAUUGGAGGGCAAGUCUGGUGCCAGCAGCCGCGGUAAUUCCAGCUCCAAUAGCGUAUAUUAAAGUUGUUGCGGUUAAAAAGCUCGUAGUUGAAUCUGUGUCGCACGCUGUCGGUUCGCCGCUCGCGGUGUUUAACUGACAUGCUCGUGAGACGUCCUACCGGUGGGCUUAGCUCCUUCGGGGGCGGUCCAACUAAUAUCCCAUCGCGGCGCUCUUUAUUGAGUGUCGAGGUGGGCCGGUACGUUUACUUUGAACAAAUUAGAGUGCUUAAAGCAGGCUAUCAUUUGCCUGAAUAUUCUGUGCAUGGAAUAAUGGAAUAGGACCUCGGUUCUAUUUUGUUGGUUUUAAGAAACCCGAGGAAAUGAUUAAUAGGGACAGAUGGGGGCAUUCGUAUUGCGACGUUAGAGGUGAAAUUCUUG
rnacentral:rRNA from 1 species